rnacentral:lncRNA from 13 species
AAGAGGUCGCUUCCGCACUUGCAGGUCUCAGCAGCGCGGGCUAGGGAUGCGAAGGCGCCGGGAAGCUCACGGGGCGGAGACCGGAGCAAGCCCGCCCUCCUCCAGACCCGGGGUCUCCCUUUCGCGCCCCCUAUCUGCAGGGCCAGCGAAACCGCAGAGGCGCGGCUCACAGGGGCCAGCCCCAGCCGCAGGCACCGAGCAGAGCGCACGCCGGCCUGUGUGGAGCCCAGGGAAGAACAGAGUAACCGGUAUAGAGGAGGCUUUGCGUUUUCAGGAAUGCACUGUCCCCUUUCCAGGAGCCCUGCAAGUGAGCAGGAGUGGCAGAAAGUAGCCUGUGCAGAGGCAGAGGAGUGGGAGUCAGCAACAGACUGCCCCUCUAUAUUCCCUGGCCGGAGUUUCAUCCAUCCCUGCGGAAGGAAGACACCCAGCUGCAAUCACGCACCUCCACCUGUCCAGAUCUCAGCUCGUGGCGUCUCCCCUGAGGCUGGAACAGCCUCGGAAGAGGGCCUGCACACUUCCAUGGGGGAACUGUGGAGGAAAACACAGGCCUGACUUGCCAGUGAGGGAGCAGAGGGGCAGGGGAGUCCCAGAAAGCACUCUGGUUAGUCAGUGCUUGAAGGUACUCCAUACAAACAGGUAGAGCAAAAUGGACAACAUCUGUAAUAAAACUAGGUAAUAUGUUUUAUUCACAAGUCUCAAGAUAAAUGCCACUGGGGACAAAUCCCCUAUAGCUAGGUCCAUGUGGCACCAGCAACACAAUAUUUUAUGGAUCUGAGAACAGAAGACUCAAAGCACUUCUAGAUCAAGACAAUUUGCCUAUAAAGAUUGUUUGGAGGAGCAAGGAUGUGGGGUUCUAAGAGACAUUCAAUAUGCAAUAAAGCCUGGCACACAGCUAGCAUACACUUCCCAGCUUCCUUUGAUGUCUGUUGUAGCCACAUGACUGAGCUUAGCCAAUGGAGUACGGGUGUAAGUGAUGUGAACCACACCAGCCUGGCCCCUAAAAACCUUACUCAGGAAACAAUAGUGCUGCAAUUUGCCGCUGAGAACCUUUCAAAGACGACGCUGACUCCUGCACCUUUGGGCAGCCAAGGGCCAGCGCAGGUGUGGGCAGCCCCCAGAGGAUGCAAGAAGAGCAAACUGUGGAAGCUGGAAGGACCUUUGCAGGCACCUGGGAGCUGCCGUUAUUGCCACCUUCGACGUGCCAUAAAGGGGCCCUGAAGUGCUUGUGUGUGCGGCACACCCGAAUAAUUGCAAACAACAUGAUAUGAUGCUAGUAACACCAAAUUCUCAGGUUUCUGGAAUUAUCCCCAACAUUGAGCAAAAGCAAGAGUGCAAAUUAUAUUGUGAGAAGGCUUUAAUUUCUGACUCUUUAAAUAAAUAUUUAGAGUAUUACA